rnacentral:rRNA from 1 species
CCUACGGGUGGCAGCAGUAGGGAAUAUUGCUCAAUGGGGGAAACCCUGAAGCAGCAACGCCGCGUGGUGGAUGAAGGUUUUCGGAUUGUAAACUCCUUUUGUUAGAGACGAUAAUGACGGUAUCUAACGAAUAAGCACCGGCUAACUACGUGCCAGCAGCCGCGGUAAUACGGAGGGUGCAAGCGUUACUCGGAAUCACUGGGCGUAAAGGGCGCGUAGGCGGGCUAGCAAGUCAGAUGUGAAAUCCUAUGGCUUAACCAUAGAACUGCAUUUGAAACUGUGAUUCUAGAGUUGGGGAGAGGUAGGUGGAAUUCUUGGUGUAGGGGUAAAAUGCGUAGAGAUCAAGAGGAAUACUCAUUGCGAAGGCGACCUGCUAGAACAUAACUGACGCUGAUGCGCGAAAGCGUGGGGAGCAAACAGGAUUAGAUACCCCGGUAGUC